rnacentral:lncRNA from 1 species
CUCUUACUUAAUCUUAUUAAUUUAACUCAGGUUUCGUGGGGCAAGGACCAGUGCCGUACCACUGAGCUCCACCCCGGCCCCAAGUUAAGUUAGAAAACUAACUAAGUGCUCCAUCCCACAGGGAAGGUGGUCUGGGGCAGAGACACCGGCGUCCUGUCCCUGUCCAAGGCUUCCUGCUCCACGCCAGGUCCCCAGGGCUAAGUGGAGCAGACGGCCCCCCAGAUUCAAGGGGUGUUCCCAACUUCCCUUCGCAGUGUGGUGUGGCCAUUUGACCGAGUUCUAAGUGAGCUGAACUGGUGGUGUGUGGAGCUUCCCAGAAGUGCCCUUAAAGAGAGGGGGUAUGGCCUUCCAAAUCCCCUUCUUCCCUUCUACUGGAAUGCAAGCAUGAGAGCUGGAGCACAGGCAGCACUGUUGGAUAAGGAGGAGGUAAACCAACUAGAAGGAGCCUGGCUCCCUAAGGACCACAGAGCCGCCCUCGAAGGCCACAGCAGGACUGAGCUGUGCAGGAGAAGUGCAGUUCUUUUAUUGAAGACACUGCCUCUUGCAGAUUUCAGACGCUUGCCACAAAGUCUCCCCUGCAGUGAAUGUAAAAAUAACGAUGGCUGUCAUGAAAAAGUGGCGUUCUGGAGCCCUCAGGGGCAGCUUCCUCGUCAGAGGACAGAGCAGGUCAUCCACCCAGGUGGAUUUCCUCAGUUUGUUCUGAGGGACCAGCGGGGAACGGAAAGCAAAGAUGUCCUCACCGUGUGGCUCAAGGUGACAGCGCCAAGCUGCUCACCGCACUGCGGCACUGCGCCUGGCGUCCCCGCACCCAGGCCCUGCUGCCCGCCUCUACCUCCGGCCCCAGCCACCAGUCUCCCUGGGGCAGUCACCAGCAUCCAGCGUCCACCAGCAGAUGGUGUUUGUCACCACGCUCAGCCUCUGGGACUCCGUGACCGGCUUCUCUCUCUGCUCCUCAGCAUCACGCAGCCUCCCUAUGGGCCCUCGCCCUGGCCGAGCGCCACGGUCAGCUGGCCGGGGGACCGGGCGUGUGAGCGCCUCAGCUGCCCGCCGUCCUCCUCCCUGUGAAGUGGGCGCCUUCCUCCAGGGAGUCCACGUGCGUCCUGAGCUUCACAGCCACCAAGCCCCUGGGACACCUGAGGGCAGGGCCAGGAGCUGGCCGCCUGCGACUACUGCCUCAGCCUCGUCCCCUUCACCCAGCAGGUCCCUCCCGGGUCACGGCCUGACUUCCUUGUGGACUGGCCACCCCGGGAUUCACCUUCUGUUUCCACACCCCAGCAGGGAGCUGGGCCCAGCUGGGCGCAGGAAACCGACCGCGGGAGGUGACGGGGUGACAGCGAGACAAAUGACGGGCACCCCCUGCGCCCCGAGCCACACCGUGUUCUCGGGGUGUGCAGGCUCAGGGUGGGGGACCUGGGACCAGGCUCCUGCGGCCCUGCAGCUGCCCAGCUGCUUCCUGAUGCUGGCGUCCUGGGGACGGGCCACACGAGGCUCCGAGCCCCGACCGGGAACCAGGCCUCCUGAUUCUGAGCCAGAGGGGCCCCGUGAGAGUCAGUCCCAGCCUGGGCGCCCGCGUGUGUGUGGGCAGGACGGCGUGUUCCUUCCUGGAGCCAGGGAGUGACUAACGCGCUGCAGGAGGACCAGCAGGUACAGCAGGCCUCGCUGCCCUGCCCUGCGGCCUGGCGGUGCCGCCCCGUCCCAGCACCCAGGGCCUCUCAGCGCCUCCCUCGCCGGGCUCCUCCCUGCCCCCCCACACACACACACACACACGCUGUGACUGGCUGCCUUCCCGCCUGCGACCCUCCCGCGGGCUGCCCUCCUCACCCCUCCUCCUGGGCCGGGCGCAGGCUGUGAGGCCCCGGGCGACUUCCCGAGCCUCUCUGGGCUUCAUGUAAGAUGCCCCUCAGUCCAGCCCCCUUCAGUGAGCUCCUACCAAGUCUGCGGCGUCUCGGGAGGAGCAGUGGGGACGCUUACUUGUCCCUGUCUGUUCUCUUGUACCUUGAAGUGUCCCGCCAUGUGUGAGGGGGACAUUCAGAUUUUAUUAGGAUAAUAAUGACCAAUGAAAUGAGACUUCGGAAUGGGGAAACCUGUCACCCCAAGCCGUGAGGACGAAGGGUCAGGUCCGGUGCCCAGAAAAAAGGAAGUGCUCACUUAACUCCACCCCCUGGGCCGCUGUCCCCCCCCCCCUCCUCCCGUGGCCUCCCCCGCCCAGCCUGGCCUCCUGGAGGGCCGAGGCGACCGGCUGCCCUCCCCUCCGCGCUCUCGCCCACCCCUCCUCCCACCGUCAUCCGCCAUCCUCCUCCCCCCUGCCACCCGUCCGUCCUCCCCGUCCAUCACCCACACCUUCAUCUGCCCCGUCACUGCCCGUUGUGCACCUGCUGUGUGCCGGGGGAGGGGGAGACAGACGUCCCGACCUCCGCCUCAUGGAGACCACUUUCAGGUGAUGUUCGGGUUCAGAUGUGAGUGUCCCCAGAAGCUCCUGUGUGAGAGGGUGCAAGGAGGUCCCGGGAGCCUCAGCCUGCUCAGUGCGUUGGUUGCUGUCAGGGACUGCCGGCCACUGUGGGCAGGUGGGGUGUGGCUGGAGGAGGCGGGUCACUGGGGACCUGUCUUGGGGUUUCUGUUUUGUCCCUGGUGAGCGGAGGGAGCGCUCUCUGCGUCCUGGUGGCCGUGGCCUGGGCUGCUUCCCUCCGACACUGUCCACCACGGCGUUCUGCCCCGCCUUGGGCCCAGAGCACUGGUCGGCCUCUGUGGCCUGAGACCUGACCCCAGAGACCCUGUGAGCCUUUCCUCCUCCGCACUCGUUCCGUCAGGUCUUUGGGUCCCAGUGCUGAGCCCCGACGUGGCCGGGGAGGCCAUCAGAGGGCCUCUACUCCGCAGUGUGCGGCUGUUGCUGGGCUGGACGCCCGUGUCGAGGCCCAGGCUGGAGGAGGGCAGCGAUGUGGGGCAUGCUCCCCGUGGGCAGGAGGCAGGGUGACAGGCCAGCCUGGAGCCGGGAGCUGAGCAGGGGGAGCUGGGAGGACCUCAAGGUCCCGGAGGGAAUCUGAACUGGGUCCUAAGCGCAGGCGUUGGGGCCUGGCACAUUCAGGUGUGGAGGGACUGGGGGGACGUGUCCCGUGUGUAAGGCAAGAGGUCCUGUGUGUAAGGUUCUGCAAGAGCCCAGUGGGAGGCAGGGUCUGGCAGGCGGGAGGGGCUGCAGGCGGGAAGCUCAGGAGACUGUGGCAGAGGGGACAGAGUGGGGGUCCUGCUGGCUUUCCACCCCGCCGAAACAGCGCCCCCAAACCAGGAGGCUUGCAGCAGGGAUCUGCUCUUUCAGAUCCUGGAGGCUGGUCCCAAAUUGUGGAGGGGCAGGCUCCUAGCUCCCUGCAGAGGCUCGGGGUCCAGCUGCCUCGUCCACUACUGGCAGCUCUCAGCAGCUCUUGGCAGGCCACUACAACCCCUGUCCCUGUCACGGUGGCCAUGGCCUGGUCCCUGUGUGUUUACCUGAUCCUCUUACAAGGCCACCAGUCACCGAGUUAGAACCCACCCCUGUGCAGCGUGGCCUCAGCCAAAGCUCUCUCCGCAGACCAGCUCAAGUUUGAUGCUCCAGGUGGACGUCACGUUUGGGGGACACACUCUUCACCCCAGCACAGGGGCCAGCAGCAUCUAAAUGGUCAUGGUCAUCGGAGAGAGCAGAUGGCGGGGAGAGGGCUGGUGGCAGCCCUCAGCAAUGUGUAAGGGGUCGCCAGAGGAUUAGGCGCCCCACAGGUCCAGCUGUGGAUGCCGAGUAACAGAAUCGCGGACCUGGACUCCUGGACCCCAGGCCUCCUGGGGCACCUGCGCCCAGCCUGGCAGCCUCCCCGCCUCCCCUGGCCCGGCCUCCACUGUGCCAGCAGAGCCCCUCACUGCACGUGACGAGCGGAGCUCAGCUGGCGGCCUCUGCCCCUUCAGGUGUGCCAGGCCUUCCCCAGCCAGGCCCAGGUGCCCGCAGGUCCAGCCCCACAGCACCCUGCUGGCACUGAGGCCUGUGGUCACUCCUACAUCACAGAAGAGAAAACCUGAGGCCCAGGAAGUGGGGGUCCAGGGUCAGAUCUGGAGGGCUGGCCCCUGGCUUGUCACUGGAUGGCUCCAGCACCACCAGAGGACGUUCAGGCCAGGCCUGGGCUCUGCUCCCGGGCUCCCUGAAGCUGCCCAGUCCGGCCCUGCCUGGGGCCGCUGCCUGCGCUGCCCUCUGUCUCCUAGGACAGAGCAGGUGUGGGCCUGAGCCCUGGGCCGGGGGCAGGAGGUUCCCGCUGGGAUGGCCGCCGCUGUCUCCGGCCUGGAGCUCUGCCCCAGCGAGGCCCCCAGGCCCAGGAGGUGAGCUGCAGGCCUGCCCGGAUGCCCGCCUGCCCGGAUGCCCGCCUGCCCUGCCCUCCCGGCCCGGGGGCCACGCCCGUCCCGC